CGGGCAUAGCUCACCGAAAGGUGAGGUAAUUCCCGAUAGUCUCAGUACUUCACUAUCGUUCAGCACUUUCGACAGAAAGUGGAGGGUGGAAAGUGGAAAGUAGUAAAAUGAACACUACUCUCUACCUUCGACUUUCUACACUCGCGAAGUGCUGAGCGGUAGCGAGGUACUGAGUAAAGAUUUUUCGCUUUGGGAGCGGCCUGCGGAGUAUCAGCUUGUUGGUAAGGUAACGGCUUACCAAGGCUAUGACGCUUAGGGGAGGUGAGAGCCUGACCCCCACCGAUGGAACUGAGAACGGUCCAUACACCUACGGGUGGCCGCAGUCGAGAAUCUUCCGCAAUGGGCGAAAGCCUGACGGAGCGACGCCGCGUGAUGGAUGAAGUCUUUCGGGACGUAAACAUCUUUUAUGACUGAAGAAGUCCGCAUCACACUGCGUGUGAUACUGAAAUUUCAAAUUUCAAAAUACAAAUCCCAAAUAAAUUCCAAAUUCAAAUUUUCAAAAUCUCAAACGUGUUUUUGUUGUUUGAAUUUUGGUUAUUGUAAUUUAUUUGUGAUUUGAUGCUUGUGAUUUGUGAUUUUCGCUAUCGCGCAUAGCGUGAUGCGGAUUGACAUUAGGUCAGGAAUAAGGGGCUGCUAAUCACGUGCCAGCAGCAGCGGUAAUACGUGAGCCCCAAGCGUUAUCCGGAAUUACUGGGCGUAAAGGGUGUGUAGGCGGUUUCAUUAGUCUUUCGUUAAAGACUCCGGCUUAACCGGAGGAGUGCGAAGGAAACGGUGAGACUUGAGGGUGCGAGAGGUCUAUGGAACUCAUGGUGUAGGGGUGAAAUCCGUUGAUAUCAUGGGGAACACCAAAAGCGAAGGCAAUAGACUGGCGCAUUCCUGACGCUGAGACACGAAAGCGUGGGUAGCGAAAGGGAUUAGAUACCCCUGUAGUCCACGCCCUAAACGAUGUUCUCUAGCUUUUUGGAGUAUCGACCCUCUGGGAGGCAAAGCUAACGCGUUAAGAGAACCGCCUGGGAAGUACGAGCGCAAGCUUAAAACUCAAAGGAAUAGACGGGGACUUGCACAAGCGGUGGAUCAGGUGGCUUAAUUCGACAAUAAACGAAGAACCUUACCAGGACUUGAAACCCUAAUGACGUAUUUGGGAGACCAGAUAUUUCUCACAAGGACAUUAGGGCAGGUGAUGCAUGGCCGUCGUCAGUUCGUGGCUUGAGCUGUUCCCUUCAGUGGGGAAACGAACGCAACCCCUAUCGUCUGUUAUACGUGUCAGGCGAGACCGCCGCGUAAGUUGGAGGAAGGUGGGGAUGACGCCAGGUCAGCAUGUCCCUUUGAUGUCCUGGGCUGCACACCUGAUACAAUGGUCGCUACAGAAGGUUGCGACGGGGUAACCCUGAGCCAAUCCUUUAAAAGCGGCCUCAGUUCGGAUUGAGGGCUGCAACUCGACCUCAUGAAGUCGGAAUCGCUAGUAAUCGCGGGUCAGAUAUACCGCGGUGAAUACGUUCCCAAGUCUUGUACUCACCGCCCGUCAUAUCAAGGGAGCCGGGAGUACCCGAAGUCCCACUCUGGAGGCUGGAAGCUGGAUAACUGGAUACUGGAAAGAUUUUUGCGAAGCAAAA
rnacentral:rRNA from 1 species